AGACAGCAGUCGCCGCGGGAAUACGGAGGGUGCAAGCGUUAAUCGGAAUUACUGGGCGUAAAGCGCACGCAGGCGGUCUGACAAGUCAGAUGUGAAAUCCCCGGGCUUAACCUGGGAACUGCAUUUGAAACUGUCAGGCUGGAGUCUUGUAGAGGGGGGUAGAAUUCCAGGUGUAGCGGUGAAAUGCGUAGAGAUCUGGAGGAAUACCGGUGGCGAAGGCGGCCCCCUGGACAAAGACUGACGCUCAGGUGCGAAAGCGUGGGGAGCAAACAGGAUUAGAUACCCGCGUAGUCCCUGUCUCUUAUAC
rnacentral:rRNA from 1 species